UGCAGUGGCGGCUGUGUGCAGGGUCGCCUUCGGGCGUGCUGAGUUGGGUUGUUCUCGGUUGACCAAGCCUGCGCACAGUCCGCCUCCCCA
ncrna:unclassified sequences C4 antisense RNA